CCUACGGGAGGCAGCAGUGGGGAAUAUUGCACAAUGGGGGAAACCCUGCUGCAGCGACGCCGCGUGAGUGAAGAAGUAAUUCGUUACGUAAAGCUCUAUCAGCAGGGAAGAAAUACUGACCUUACGGUCAGCAGACGGUACCUGCGUAAGAAGCCCCGGCUAACUACGUGCCAGCAGCCGCGGUAAUACGUAGGGGGCAAGCGGUAUCCGUAUUUACUGGGUGUAAAGGGAGCGGAGACGGUGCGCCAAGUAUGGAGGGAAAUGCCGCAGCUUAACUGCGGAACUGCUUUGGACACUGGCGAACGAGAGUGCGGGAGGGGUAAGCGGAAUUCCUAGUGUAGCGGUGA
rnacentral:rRNA from 1 species